UACGGGGGGGGCAAGCGUUGUUCGGAAUUACUGGGCGUAAAGGGCUCGUAGGUGGCCAACUAAGUCAGACGUGAAAUCCCCAGGCUCAACUUGGGAACUGCGUCUGAUACUGGAUGGCUUGAAUUCGGGAGAGGGAUGCAGAAUUCCAGGUGUAGCGGUGAAAUGCGCAGAUAUCAGGAAGAACACCGGAGGCGAAGGCGGCUUGCUGGGCUUGGUCUGACGCUGAGGCGCGAAAGCGUGGGGAGCGAACAGG
rnacentral:rRNA from 1 species